AGCGCUAGAAACCUUUAUUUUGAAAAAUAUCCUCCCGGUUGUGGUCUGUUGUUGCUGUGUUCCCACAGCGUGUUGUGUUUGGGGGAAGCUCUGAAGCGGAGACUCAGUCUGAGGUUAAAGAGCUGUCCAGUCUCUGCUCCAGUCUUCAUGAACUGCCAGCAAAAGUCAACAGAGGCAAAAAAAAGGGAAACACUUCUGAUGUCAGUCCUACAGUGGUUCAGGUCAUAUCUUACAACAUAUCAGUGGCUGGAGACACCAAAACCACACGAGCAAUCUACAACUUCCUCCAUCUCCACCAACAUUUCAUCCCAUCUGAACCUCCCACCAAUUAUGAACAAGCUGGUUUCAGCUGGGAUCAGGCUGUAGCCAUCUCUGUCAGCCCUCAGGUUCAGUGAAAAAUUAGCCCAGCUUCUCCUCCACACUCAACUACUGCCACAGGGACCCAACAGCCCUCCUGCCUCAUCACAGUCACCAGUCACAGAUAAACUAUUAAACAUAGCUUCCUCAACACCUGCACCACCUUAAAGAAAGAGACAAGCUCUUCAACC
ensembl:lncRNA